rnacentral:tRNA from 1 species
GCCCUUAUGGCCCAGUGGUACGGCGUUUCACUUGUAUGAGAUGAAAAGAUCCUGAGUUCAAUUCUCAGUGGGGGCA